rnacentral:rRNA from 1 species
CUUGGUCAUUUAGAGGAAGUAAAAGUCGUAACAAGGUUUCCGUAGGUGAACCUGCGGAAGGAUCAUUAUCGAAAUAAGCAACGUAGCAAGCUGUCGCUGGGGAGGGCCCCUCCCCGUGCACGCUUGUUAUUUUUCUUCAUUUCUCCAUCUCUUUUGUGCAUCCACUUGUGUAGAUCUUUGGCGUCUCUGAGGGCCUCUCCUUCAGACAACUGGGGACUGCUUUGCGAAUAUCCACUUUUGCGGGCUUUCCUUGUCGAUCGAUCUAUAUGUCUUAUAUACACACUCCUGUUAUAGAGAGAAGGGUUGGAAUAAUAAUAAAUCGUUAUACAACUUUCAGCAACGGAUCUCUUGGCUCUCGCAUCGAUGAAGAACGCAGCGAAAUGCGAUAAGUAAUGUGAAUUGCAGAAUUCAGUGAAUCAUCGAAUCUUUGAACGCAUCUUGCGCUCCUUGGUAUUCCGAGGAGCAUGCCUGUUUGAGUGUCAUUAAUAUCUCAACCAUAUCCCAUGGGUUGGGUAUGGCUUGGACGUGGGGGUUACAGGCUCUAUAAUGGUGGUCUGCUCCCCUGAAACACAUGAGUGGCGAAAAGAAAGCCUCCGUUUAAGGUGUGAUACUUAUCUGCAUCUAAUCGAAGGGUCACUAUAUAUAUAUGGGACAUGUUUGACUUCUUGACCUCAAAUCAGGUAGGACCACCCGCUGAACUUAAGCAUAUCAAUAAGCGGAGGA